rnacentral:rRNA from 1 species
AACGAACGCUGGCGGCAGGCCUAACACAUGCAAGUCGAACGCCCCGCAAGGGGAGUGGCAGACGGGUGAGUAACACGUGGGAACGUACCCUUCGGUUCGGGAUAACUCAGGGAAACUUGAGCUAAUACCGGAUACGUCCGAGAGGAGAAAGAUUUAUCGCCGAGGGAUCGGCCCGCGUCUGAUUAGCUUGUUGGUGAGGUAACGGCUCACCAAGGCGACGAUCAGUAGCUGGUCUGAGAGGAUGAUCAGCCACAUUGGGACUGAGACACGGCCCAAACUCCUACGGGAGGCAGCAGGUGGGGAAUAUUGGACAAUGGGCGCAAGCCUGAUCCAGCCAUGCCGCGUGAGUGAUGAAGGCCCUA